rnacentral:lncRNA from 1 species
UUGAGACCUAACACCUGUGUCUGAACCAACCUGUCCAGGUGUACUUAUUCAUCAGAUAGCAUGCGUUUUGGGCAAGUUCCUCUUAACGGCCCUUUUAAGUAUCUGAAAGGCAGAGCAGGUAUUUUUUCCAGACUAUGUUAAUUAGUGAACUAUUCUUAAAAGAAAUUUUAACAAACUGGUUGGUCACUGCCAAGCUCUUGUCUUAGAAUCUGUUCCCUACAAGCCAAGCCUGAGACAGUUUUGGAGGCCUUUUCAUUUUCCUUCAUAAUAUACGGAUGAAAAAAUUUUUAGAAAGAGCUGCCAAUUUUAAAAAUUUGGUCUUCUGACAUGUGGAUCUGACCUCAACUAUAAAGUUAUCUUUUGGAACAAAACUGGCCGUCUGGACACGUAAGGGAGCUGAAGAAUGCAAUAGAAUCUUCCCAGCUGUGAAGAGGUUACCUCAGUGCCUAAAACAAAUAUGCAUUCUUACGGAUGGGUGGCAAAACUCCAGGUGUCUUUAAUUGCAACAUCAAUUUCUACCACUGAGGUGGAGAAAACUGAGUUUAAAUGUGUUUCUCUUAUGAAGUCAGGACAAGAUAAUAUUCUAGGGAAAGCCCAGAAGAAAACAUCU